CGGUCAUCAGCUGACAUUUGUCUUUCCUCUUCAUACUCGUUUUCUGGAAAGUCAUUAAUAUAUUGUCUUUCAUUAAGCUUCUCAAGGUGAACAAUUGAGGUCCUGUUCACUACUGCCACAGGGGUUUCAUCAUCCGGAUCUGUGGAAGCAUUAGGUGGACCAUUAACGACCCAUCCUAACAGUGUUUUCACUGCAUAUGGGCCGUUUCCUUGGAUAAGGCCAUUUCUUGAGGUCCGCCUGGAAGGACUUCAGUUCUCCGUCCUCUAGCACCAAGCUGCCUCAUGAGCCCCUCUGUGCAAAAUGUGUCGGUACUACCAGGGUCCAGGAAUGCAUAGGUCAGUAUACUUUUAUUUCCAUGGCAGAGUUUCACCUUCACUGGCACUAUGGCAAGUAUGCUGUCUUUACCAGCCCCGAUUCCUUCACCUUCUCCUACUGAAACAAGAGCACUGCUGAUGGAUGUCUCUUCAGGCCUUGCUCCUCCACUCUUCUGCUCUGUCUUAUCAUGUUUAAAGUUCUCAGUUUCAGGCUUAGAAGAUCUUUUAAUGUGCAGAAUAGUUGGGUGUCUAGCAUGACAGAUUUGACAGGUCAUUCUCCUGUUACAGUUCCUGCUCAAGUGCCCCACCUUCAGGCAGCCAAAGCAUAGUCCUUUCUCUUUCAGAAACUCAAUUUUAGCUUCAUGAGAUAUUGAAUGUAUUGUAUGGCAUUCAGCUAAAGGAUGCAUGCUGGUACAAAAGGUACAUGAGGUGUCAUUGUUAGUGGAGGAAAUGUAGCUUUUAACAAGAUAAUUGUCUUCUUUGGGUUUCUCUGCAUGGCUGUCUGAC